AAAUAAAGACUAGUAUGAAUGGCUUCACGAGGAUCCAACUGUCUCCUUUGUCCAAUCAGUGAAACUGAUCCCCCCGUGCAGAAGCGGGGAUAUUAUCAUAAGACGAGAAGACCCUAUGGAGCUUUAAACCUACAUCAACAAAUUUCUUUCUAUCUCUAAACUAACAUUUAUUAAAUUUGCUUGAUUAAAGUUUUAGGUUGGGGCGACCAUGGAGAAAAAAAAAUCCUCCACGAUGAUCUCCUAACUAAGAACCACAAUUCUAAGUAUUAAGACUCUUAACUUAUAUUGACCCAUUUUAUGAUCAACGAACCAAGUUACCCUAGGGAUAACAGCGCAAUCCAUUUCAAGAGUCCCUAUCGACAAAUGGGUUUACGACCUCGAUGUUGGAUCAGGGCACCCAAGUGGUGCAACCGCUACUAAAGGUUCGUUUGUUCAACGAUUAAAGCCCUACGUGAUCUGAGUUCAGACCGGAGA
rnacentral:rRNA from 1 species